rnacentral:rRNA from 1 species
AUUGAACGCUGGCGGCAGGCCUAACACAUGCAAGUCGAACGAGUGGCGGACGGGUGAGUAAUGUCUGGGAAUCUGCCUGAUGGAGGGGGAUAACUACUGGAAACUGUAGCUAACACCGCAUACCAUCAGAUGCGCCCAGAUGGGAUUAGCUUGUUGGUGGGGUAACGGCUCACCAAGGCAACGACCCCUAGCUGGUCGGAGAGGAUGACCAGCAACACUGGGACUGAGACACGGUCCAGACUCCUACGGGAGGCAGCAGUGGGGAAUAUUGCACAAUGGGCGCAAGCCUGAUGCAGCCAUGCCGCGUGUAUGAAGAAGGCCUUCGGGUUGUAAAGUACUUUCAGCGGGGAGGCGUUACCCACAGAAGAAGCACCGGCUAACUCCGUGCCAGCAGCCGCGGUAAUUC